UACGGAGGGUGCAAGCGUUGUCCGGAUUUAUUGGGUUUAAAGGGUGCGUAGGCGGCCCGUUAAGUCAGCGGUGAAAUCCCGGGGCUCAACCCCGGAACUGCCGUUGAUACUGGCGGGCUUGAGUUCGGUCGAGGCGGGCGGAACUGGUGGUGUAGCGGUGAAAUGCUUAGAUACCACCAAGAACCCCGAUUGCGUAGGCAGCUCGCUUGGCCGUAACUGACGCUGAGGCACGAAAGCGUGGGGAGCGAACAGG
rnacentral:rRNA from 1 species